rnacentral:rRNA from 1 species
AUUGAACGCUGGCGGCAGGCUUAACACAUGCAAGUCGAGCGAGCGGCGGACGGGUGAGUAAUGUAUGGGAAACUGCCCGAUGGAGGGGGAUAACUACUGGAAACGGUAGCUAAUACCGCAUACCAUCAGAUGUGCCCAGAUGGGAUUAGCUAGUAGGUGGGGUAAAGGCUCACCUAGGCGACGAUCCCUAGCUGGUCUGAGAGGAUGACCAGCCACACUGGAACUGAGACACGGUCCAGACUCCUACGGGAGGCAGCAGUGGGGAAUAUUGGACAAUGGGCGCAAGCCUGAUGCAGCCAUGCCGCGUGUGUGAAGAAGGCCUUCGGGUUGUAAAGUACUUUCGGCAGGGAGGCGGUACUCGCAGAAGAAGCACCGGCUAACUCCGUGCCAGCAGCCGCGGUAAUUC